UUCUCUAGAAAGGAAGAUUGCAGGUCCUAC
rnacentral:piRNA from 1 species